rnacentral:rRNA from 1 species
UGGGGAAUAUUGCACAAUGGGCGAAAGCCUGAUGCAGCGACGCCGCGUGAGGGAUGACGGCCUUCGGGUUGUAAACCUCUUUCAGUAGGGACGAAGCGCAAGUGACGGUACCUGCAGAAGAAGCACCGGCUAACUACGUGCCAGCAGCCGCGGUAAUACGUAGGGUGCGAGCGUUGUCCGGAAUUACUGGGCGUAAAGAGCUCGUAGGCGGUUGGUCACGUCGUCUGUGAAAUCCUAGGGCUUAACCCUGGACGUGCAGGCGAUACGGGCUGACUUGAGUACUACAGGGGAGACUGGAAUUUCUGGUGUAGCGGUGGAAUGCACAGAUAUCAGGAAGAACACCGAUGGCGAAGGCAGGUCUCUGGGUAGUAACUGACGCUGAGGAGCGAAAGCAUGGGUAGCGAACAGG